GCAUCCGUGAAGUAGUAGUGAACUUAUUCCUCUCCCAUUUUCCCUUGUGGUUUAACGGUAAAGGAAAAACCCGGGUGCAAAUCCCGGCGGAUGCA